GCCAGCAGCCAUGUCACCCUGCAACUCACAACUGGCAGCCCACUGGAGCUCAGCAGGUGUGAGCCUGGUCAGUACCUGGAUGGGAGACCUCCUGGGAAAAACUAAGGUUGCUGCUGGAA
rnacentral:rRNA from 1 species